CUGCAACUGACACAGGGAUGAGUCACGUACAUACACAGCAUUUCAGGCACCGCAUGAAGCCAUCUCUCCCUGCACAGGCAAGCCUGCCAGACAUGUGGCACUCAUCUGUUACGAUGGAGCUGAAAGCAACCGAACAAUCUUCUCCCUUGUUGCCUCGGCCCACAAGGCUUCCGCAGUGGCAUGAGUAGAUGCCACUCUGUGUGACAUAGAAAUAUCUGCAUAUUGUUCGGAUGGAGGGUGUUAAUCUCUCCUCCUACGUGGUAUUCUAAAGCACACAGAGAGAGACCACAAGCCAGGCAGGGAGGAUGUUCAGCAUCUUUCAUUUCGCUGCCCUCCCCCCUUUCCUUCCUUCUUCCUCCUUCUUCCGAAAAUGGCCUAUGUUUAAAAAGUACUACCCCCGUGGUUUCUGACUAUUGCUCAGGGCAAUUUUGCUUAGCCUAGCGGAAUGUCCUGGAAACUGCUGGCAAUAACUUUUAGCCCCCAAGACUGGAACAUGUUGAGCAGAGACAGAAAGCCUAUGAACAACUAAUGGCCGGGAGCCAGAGUAAACAAGUGCGGUUCGUCGGGUUGCGGUCAGAAAUGUCUCCCUUUUCAGUAUGCAGCGCAAAAUCCUCUGCCAACAGUUGCCAUAAAGUUAUUACACAAAGCUGUUUUUCCUCUCAGUAAGACAAACCCAAUGAAAGGCUGCUUCUCGUCCAGCCCCUUGCUGACAUUAGGCCUCCAAGAUAGUCUGUCAUGCCAAGAGAGACCUGUGUGAGCUGCGGUCUCCCUUCCAGGCUGCGUUUUUCAUUAGGCUAGUUAGGGCUUCUGUACAGAAGCAAGUGAGAGGGGGUGGAAGGAGGGGAGAGAGCAGAGAAGGAGAGCAGAAGAUUACACACACACACACACUUUUCUUUCAGGAUAGCAUGACAAACCACAGAGCAGCAAAUUCUGUCCUCCCUUUCCAAACUCUGUCCUAGCUGGCCUGGGCUUGCGAGGGGAAUUGGAGCAUAAGCUGCUAGCUUGUACCAAGCCAGACCAUUUGGGCCUUCAGCAGUGUGUCUAUACUGGGGUAGGGAACUGCAGACCCAGGGGCCAAAAGUGGCCUUCCUCUCCCCUAGCUACCAGAACCCACCAGAGCACCAUUUCUGACCUGUUAAAGCUCCUUAGGAAGCUGCUACUUGCCCCAAUGUGCUUUUAAGCUCUUUGAAAGAAUUUGUGCAAGUCUGAUUUGAAUUAGUUAUAAAACUCUACCUCUUAUGUCCACAUUUCCUCCCUGAUUAUAGGUGCCUACCCCCGGAGGCCAUCAUACCAAGCAAUGGUUUUGAUAGUGAGGCUUCUUCGUUCUUACUGAUGUCAGAGUUGGCUAGCACCUUGGAUUUCAGUAGUAGAGACUCACCCAUUAGGAUGAAUGGGGCACUGCCUCAGGAACCUCAGUCCACCCUGAGCCAGCCCCUGCCUGCCUGCUGUCUUACAUCCAUUAGAGGGAGCGGGUGGAGCUGUGGUCUAAACCACUGAGCCUCUUGGGCUUGCUGAUCAGAAGGUUGGUGGUUCGAAUCCCCAUGACGGGGUAAGCUCCCAUUGCUCUGUCCCAGCUCCUGUCAACCUAGCAGUUCAAAAGCACAACAGUGCAAGUAGAGAAAUAGGUACCACAGUGGCAGGAAGGUAAACGGCGUUCCCAUGUGCUCUGGUUUCCGUCAUGGUGUUCCGUUGCGCCUAAAGCAGUUUAAUCAUGUUGGCCACAUGACCCAGAAAGCUGUCUGUGGACAAACACUGGCUCCCUCGGCCUGAAAGUGAGAUGAGCACGGCAACCUCACAGUCGCCUUUGACUGGACUUAAUGGCCCAGGGGUCCUUUACCUUUUUACUUUACCUUACAUCCAUUGCAGGAGGUAGCUCUGCUUGUCACCUUCCUCCUUCUUAGUCUCAGUGUUGCCCCUUGUCAAACUCAGCAGGGAGGUUGAUGGGGACAAGACUAGAAUUAGUUGGCUCUAGCUGGUAUUGGUGCUGUCUCUAUGUACUGCCGGCCUCCCUGCCUUCCACUGCAUCAUUUCCAAUGGUACCACUGGGUGGUGUUAGCUGGAAAAAGUGAAUCCCUCCUCUCUUUCCCCUUUCUUUUUUUACAGUACUAAACUCUCCUCCGGUGCCUCCAGGCCCCCGGCUUCCCUGACAACAGCCAAAUGCAUUUCCUCCAUGCUUCCUCUGCCUCUUAAUAAGCAUGCAUUAUUGUGUGCUCUCUGUGCUGCGCCCAGCAGAUAUAAUAAUAACACCGUCUGCUGAGCUUUUCACAAGGCACCCUGCAAUAACAGCACCUUCUCCUCUCCUCUGAGUUAAAAAGAGAACAGGCUGACAUGCAUUCCGAAUGCACCAUACCAGUGUAAUGAUAGCAAUGAUUACAUGGGAAAGUAAAAGGUUCCAUGGCAUCCGUGUUAUUUCA